rnacentral:rRNA from 1 species
CAACUUUCAACAACGGAUCUCUUGGCUCUCGCAUCGAUGAAGAACGCAGCGAAAUGCGAUAAGUAAUGUGAAUUGCAGAAUUCAGUGAAUCAUCGAAUCUUUGAACGCACCUUGCGCCCCUUGGUAUUCCGAGGGGCAUGCCUGUUUGAGUGUCUUGA